rnacentral:rRNA from 1 species
UACGGGAGGCAGCAGUGGGGAAUAUUGCACAAUGGGCGCAAGCCUGAUGCAGCCAUGCCGCGUGUAUGAAAAAGGCCUUCGGGUUGUAAAGUACUUUCAGUCGUGAGGAAGGUGUUAAGGUUAAUAACCUUAGCAAUUGACGUUAGCGACAGAAGAAGCACCGGCUAACUCCGUGCCAGCAGCCGCGGUAAUACGGAGGGUGCGAGCGUUAAUCGGAAUUACUGGGCGUAAAGGGCACGCAGGCGGUUAAUUAAGUUGGAUGUGAAAUCCCCGGGCUUAACCUGGGAAUGGCAUUCAAGCUGGUUAGCUAGAGUCUUGUAGAGGGGGUGAAUUCCAUGUGUAGCGGUGAAAUGCGUAGAGAUGUGGAGGAAUACCGGUGGCGAAGGCGGCCCCUGGACAAAGACUGACGCUCAUGUGCGAAAGCGUGGGGAGCAAACAGGGAUUAGAUA